AUUGAACGCUGGCGGCAUGCCUUACACAUGCAAGUCGAACGGCAGCACGGGAGCAAUCCUGGUGGCGCGUGGCGAACGUGUGUGUAAUAUAUCGGAACGUGCGCAGUCGUGGGGGAUCACGUAGCGAAAGCUCCGCUAAUACCGCAUACGCUCUGUGGAUGAAAGGGGGGGUUCGCAAGAUCUCGCGCGAUUGGAGCGGCCGAUAUCAGAUUAGGUAGUUGGUGAGGUAAAAGCUCACCAAGCCGACGAUCUGUAGCUGGUCUGAGAGGGCGACCAGCCACAAUGGGGCUGGGACACGGCCCAGACUCCUACGGGAGGCAGCAGUGGGGAAUUUUGGACAAUGGGCGCAAGCCAGAUCCAGCAAUGCCGCGUGCAGGAUGAAGGCCUUCGGGUUGUAAACUGCUUUUGUACGGAACGAAACGGCGAGCUCUAAUACAGUUUGCUUAUGACGGUACCGUAAGAAUAAGCACCGGCUAACUACGUGCCAGCCGCCGCCGUAA
rnacentral:rRNA from 1 species